rnacentral:rRNA from 1 species
CCUACGGGAGGCAGCAGUGGGGAAUAUUGGACAAUGGGGGGAACCCUGAUCCAGCGACGUCGCGUGAGUGAAGAAGUAUCUCGGUGUGUAAAGCUCUUUUAGCAGGGAAGAAAGAAAUGACGGUACCUGACUAAGACGCCUCCGGUAACUACGUGCCAGCAGCCGCGGUAAUACGGAGGGGGCAAGCGUUAUCCGGAUUCACUGGGUGUAAAGGGAGCGUAGAUGGCGAGGCAAGUCUGAAGUGAAAGGCGGGGGCCCAACCCCUGGACUGCUGUGGAAACUGGAUGGCUGGAGUGCAGGAGAGGUAAGUGGAAUUCCUGGUGUAGCGGUGAAAUGCGUAGAUAUUAGGAGGAACACCAGUGGCGAAGGCAGCUUACUGGACUGUAACUGACGUUGAGGCUCGAAAGCGUGGGGAGCAAACAGGAUUAGAUACCCGAGUAGUC